AUAAAACCAAACACGUCGUUGUGGUCGCGAAAAGCGCCGCUGCAUAGACAUUCGCUUCCUUGACUCGUGGUGCGGCGCAGCUCUGGCAAUAAUCUGGCUGCGCGCGCGCGUUAACGCAAACCAGUUAUCCGUUUGCGGUGGAUAGUAGACCGCGUCUGAGCGCGGUCACCGCCGUCAGCGUCAUUGGCCGAAUGUGUCGCAGCACCCUCGGCUGUUCUCGCGUGCAGCUCGUCGACACGUCCACGGUCCAGACCCAGAUCGUCGUCGUCGCCGUCGUCGCCGCCGACGUCGUCAUCGUUGGCUCAGCUGGGUGCUGGCUCUCAAAGUGGAGGCGAAGGUGAUUUUUACCUUAAUUAUCGAGUGACCAAUGCGACCAUAAUUUUAUGUAAUCAUAAAUGCAUCGCUCCUGUCAAUUA